ensembl:ncRNA lncRNA:CR45598 long non-coding RNA:CR45598
GGUCAAAAACAAAUGUCAGGUAUGUAACAUAUUUUCGGACUAAAAAUAAAAUUGAUAAACAUAUAUUAAAUAAACUCCAAUUGAACAGCACUAGUCCGAGUUGCGGUGCACUCAGUUUUAUUGUCCGCCUGCCUGCCUGACUGACGGACGGACGGGCGGACCAACGGGCGGACGGAGGAACUGCUAAACUGACGCACUGACAUCGACGAACCGCACCCAAAGUGCUUGGCCCGGCAAGUGCAUAGAUAACAAACGAGUGCAAGGAUAACGAGGCUACACGGCAAGGACUACGUUUGCAACCACAGCUACAGCUGCUACUACAACUGCGUCUAUGGCAACGGAAAUAACGCGAAAAAUGGUGCAACAGCAAAGGGCGAAGAGGAGGGGACAGUGAAAUAUUGAAAUACAAUUGGUUUAGGAUAAGAUCACACACAGCCCCAUAUCUCUUCCUUCCUCCACUUAAAGACGGCGCCAAAGGAUGUGGCAUAAGUGGUUUCCAGCUGCCCAGCAUUUUGCUUUAAGUCCAGCCAGUUGAUUUAAAUGGCUACAUCAAAAAUUG